rnacentral:tRNA from 1 species
GGGGAUUUAGCUCAGCGGUAGAGCGCUUGCCUAGCAAGCACAAGACCCUGGGUUCAAUCCCCAGCUCCG